GCUAGAUGGUUGUCUCAGUCUCAUUCUGAAGUUUUUAAAUUUGAUUAAAAGCUGUACACUACAGAUAUUAUAUUCCUAGCCCACUCAAGGAUCCAAAGUUAAAAUAAUUAACAAGUGUAGACAUAUAACAGUAGCAAAAUCCCUGCUUUCUAAUUGUGUUGAAUUACGGCAAAUAUUCUGAGACUACAUUUUUUUUCCUGCUAAUGGUCAAUUUAUAUGUUUAAUUUUAAAUGAACAUUACUUCUGUAUUAGCAUUACUAAAAAUAUCACAUAUUAUUACAAAGUUUAGACUUGCCGUUUAUUAACUAUAUGCCCAGUUGUACAAUAAGAACCACAAGACCUGGCUUUUUAAUUAUUUUGUGUACCUAUUUCAAAAUCCAGCAGAUCUCAGAUUUGAAUUGUAAAUUCCAAAUUUAAAAGUCUUUAAGGGAACGCAGACCUCAAGAAGGCAGGCCCCCAGGAGAGCGGGAGGGCUGAGCAGCAUGCCAGCAGUGCCUCCUCUUUCUGCCCAGGGCCCCAUCUCACAGACCUCAUGCUGUGCCUGCAAUGGACAGCAUGGGGAGACUCCUGUCACUUCACCCCAAGGUUUGUGCCCUAUAAAGAAGAGAAGAUGACAGUGUCAGGAGGGUGUAGCAUCUGCCCAUCUGGCUAACCUGGCUGUGCCCAAGUGCUGGGCAGGUCCAGAGUAUUGUGCUGGGCUCUUGUGUCCCUCACACCUCUCCUGUCAUAUGACUGUGAUCCUGAACUUUGAGGACUCAAGCUACUCCAACAUAGUACUGUGACACCUGAAGCUGUGGAAAGCUCUUGAAAGCACAAUCUGUGGCAUUCUCCCACAGGUGUCAGGGUCAUCUCCUUUAGACUCAGCAAACCUGGGCGGUGACAGCUCCUUUCACAGUGUGACUCUGCUGCUGUCCGGGCAGCAGCACAGCCUGUAGUCAGCUCCCAUUUACAGUCUGCUUGGGACAGUGAGGCUGCAGGUGCAUGGUGGACACGACUGGGACCACCUUCCCCACAGGAGGAUUUAAUGAGAUACUGUGUGGAAAAUACCCUGGCUCCUGCGUGGCCCACAGGAUGUGCUCUACUGGCUAUCACGUUCAUCUCAACUUACUUGUGUGUGCUGUACCUCCAUGAGAGCUGCUGCAUCCAUGACCUGGACCCUCCCUAGUGGCAGCCCAUAUCCUGCCUGCUGCUGGUCAUCAUCCUGCACUACUUAAACUUGUGGAAGGGAAUGAAGACUUCUGGGAAAGUUGUGUGGAUCACAGCUACCAUGCCCUGCCUUGCGUGGUCCUCUUUGCCUUGCUCUUGUGAGGAACCACUUUUCCUGGAACCAUUGACGACAUCAAAGUGUAUCAGAGCAUUGAUUUCCAUCGGUUCUGUGAGGUGUCUGAAGCUGAUGCUUGAUGGUGGAGCACUACUGCUGCCCAGGACACAAAGGGAUCCCAGUCACAUCAGAUCUGAAAACAAAGUUCAAAAAAAAAGCAAAGUCCAGAGCCAGGCUGCAGAUUGCUUCAGCAAGGAAGAGAUGGUUCUGGGUUGAAAAUCCAACCAGGCCCCCUAUCUACUCCCCAGUCCACAGGGGAAAAAAAUAGCCAAAACUGAAACAGAACUAUUCAUUACAAAGACAAAAUAGUGGAAUAAAAUAUGAGUUCAGUUUAUUUUCUAACAAAAAAACAAAAAGAUCUUUAAAAAUAGAUAUUUUGUAAUGUACAUUGAUGAGACUAUUCUCAAUAGCAAGAUUGCUUUUUCAAACGUGAGAUCAGAUGCUUCAAAAUGAAAAUAAAAAUGGCUCUUCUGAGACACAUUUUACUCUUGUGUAGAAAUGGUCCAUUUGCAAACUCUACCAAGAGUGAAUAUUUCACAAAUGAAUUCAUCACAUGUAAAGUUAACAAGUAGGAAAUACUAGAGUGGGGAAAAAAACCUUUCUGUCUUGUGUUUUCAAGGUUAUUUACAUAUGGACCUCUAUUUUGUUUAAGAUAGAUCAUUGAAAUUCUAACACAUUGGAGAGUUAAUUCUUCACUCACUAGAUUAGAGUUUUGUUUUUAGGCUUAGAUUUUUAUUAUAUUGGAAUAGUGCUGAAAAGAUUAAUUUAGAUACUUUGAGAACUGACAGUGCACAUUCAGUAUUUUGCGUUCUCACCAUGUGCUUAGUCUAUGCAGUUUGAGAUCUUACGUCACAAAGGUGAUGACCCUUUCCUGUCCACAGGGUGUUUAUGGUCUAAUAGAAAAGUUAGGUAAAAAAAAAAACAACUGAUUGAGAGGAGGAGGAGAGAGGUAGAGGCACAGAUAAACUAUAAGGGAUCUAAUUACACAGUUUUUCUCCAAGUGGCAG